rnacentral:rRNA from 1 species
ACAAGCGGUGGAGCAUGUGGUUUAAUUCGAAGCAACGCGAAGAACCUUACCAGGUCUUGACAUCCCCUGACAACCGGGAGAUCGGGCGUUCCCCUUCGGGGGACAGGGUGACAGGUGGUGCAUGGUUGUCGUCAGCUCGUGUCGUGAGAUGUUGGGUUAAGUCCCGCAACGAGCGCAACCCUCGACCUUAGUUGCCAGCAUUCAGUUGGGCACUCUAAGGUGACUGCCGGCUAAAAGUCGGAGGAAGGUGGGGAUGACGUCAAAUCAUCAUGCCCCUUAUGACCUGGGCUACACACGUGCUACAAUGGGCGGUACAAAGGGUCGCCAACCCGCGAGGGGGAGCCAAUCCCAUAAAGCCAUUCGUAGUCCGGAUCGCAGUCUGCAACUCGACUGCGUGAAGUCGGAAUCGCUAGUAAUCGUGGAUCAGAAUGUCACGGUGAAUACGUUCCCGGGUCUU